rnacentral:rRNA from 1 species
CCUACGGGUGGCAGCAGUGAGGAAUAUUGGUCAAUGGACGAGAGUCUGAACCAGCCAAGUAGCGUGAAGGAUGACUGCCCUAUGGGUUGUAAACUUCUUUUAUAUGGGAAUAAAACGUUCCCCGUGUGGGAUUUUGUAUGUACCAUAUGAAUAAGGAUCGGCUAACUCCGUGCCAGCAGCCGCGGUAAUACGGAGGAUCCGAGCGUUAUCCGGAUUUAUUGGGUUUAAAGGGAGCGUAGGUGGAUUGUUAAGUCAGUUGUGAAAGUUUGCGGCUCAACCGUAGAAUUGCAGUUGAAACUGGCAGUCUUGAGUACAGUAGAGGUGGGCGGAAUUCGUGGUGUAGCGGUGAAAUGCUUAGAGAUCACGAAGAACUCCGAUUGCGAAGGCAGUUCACUGGACUGCAACUGACACUGAGGCUCGAAAGUGUGGGUAUCAAACAGGAUUAGAUACCCCAGUAGUC